rnacentral:rRNA from 1 species
GAUGAACGCUGGCGGCGUGCCUAAUACAUGCAAGUCGAGCGAACGGACGAGAAGCUUGCUUCUCUGACGUUAGCGGCGGACGGGUGAGUAACACGUGGAUAACCUACCUAUAAGACUGGGAUAACUUCGGGAAACCGUAGCUAAUACCGGAUAAUAUUUUGAACCGCAUGGUUCAAUAGUGAAAGACGGUCUUGCUGUCACUUAUAGAUGGAUCCGCGCUGCAUUAGCUAGUUGGUAAGGUAACGGCUUACCAAGGCAACGAUGCAUAGCCGACCUGAGAGGGUGAUCGGCCACACUGGAACUGAGACACGGUCCAGACUCCUACGGGAGGCAGCAGUAGGGAAUCUUCCGCAAUGGGCGAAAGCCUGACGGAGCAACGCCGCGUGAGUGAUGAAGGUCUUCGGAUCGUAAAACUCUGUUAUUAGGGAAGAACAUAUGUGUAAGUAACUGUGCACGUCUUGACGGUACCUAAUCAGAAAGCCACGGCUAACUACGUG